UACAGAGGUCCCAAGCGUUGUUCGGAUUUACUGGGCGUAAAGGGAGCGUAGGUGGCAUUCCAAGUCUGAUGUGAAAGCUCUGAGCUUAACUCAGAAAUGGCAUUAGAUACUGGUUUGCUGGAGGAUUGGAGGGGAGAUUGGAAUUCUUGGUGUAGCAGUGAAAUGCGUAGAUAUCAAGAGGAACACCAGUGGCGAAGGCGAAUCUCUGGACAAUUCCUGACACUGAUGCUCGAAAGCUAGGGGAGCAAACGGG
rnacentral:rRNA from 1 species